GUUUCUCUGCAGCCUAUGAAGGUCCUUCCCAACCGAGUAGGUGGGUAUUCUCUGAAGGCACUGUGCCUUGGUGAGGAGUCAUGCUGGAGCAGGGCAAAGUUGUGCGGAGGAAAGAAUAGCAGAGAGGAACCAUUAUGGACUGACCAAAAAAUCCCAUUGCUCUCAUCACUCUGCACCACCUAGAGUUGAAGCAAGAGAUACAUGACUUGGGAUACAGUGAAUAAAAUCGAGGGAUAGCAUUCAACUGAGGCAAAAUCAGUUUUUCUGACAGAUGAACACUUCCUCUUUGCCACUAAAGUUAGAGAAGAUCCAAGGCACGUGGACGUAGUGUGUAUCUCUAACUGCACUUCCGUGAGGCGUGUAACAGGCCUUCCAACAAUAUUGUUGAAGUACUAACUGGAGCAGUCCUGGUGAGAUGAUGUUGGGAUCUGGACCAGAUGCACAACUCCCUGGACUCCCAAACAAGCCAGAGUAAUAAGCUGUCAGGGUCAUUAAAAGGGCUUUGAAAAGUCUUGAUAAAGUAAGAAGAUAAACAAGGAUACCACUGUUUCUAAAAGCUGCUGAAAUCUUCCUUUGUAUGAUCUCUUUAUAAAUACAAUACUGUCAAAAGCCUUGUCUAUGUCUUAUAUAUGACUAGAAACAAUUGAACAAGGUGAGGUCAGAAGGAGGGUUUCAGGGAAAGUGAGUUCCAGGUAGAGAACUAUGCUGGAUUCAGUGAAACAUCAAGCUUAGAGGUUGAGAUAGGUAGGAGUUACCUGCUAGGUGUAUAUGUGGUCCCCUACAGAGAUGGACUUGGAAAGCUGGAACAAUCAUCUGGAAAGGUGAUUAACAAAGGAGGAGUCUAACAGCAACAGGAAAGAAAUUGCAUCCAGUGAGCACAGCAAAUCAAGAUGAGGGCCCUGAUCCGGCAAUAUUAUGUGCAUGUUUAACUAUCCCCUUGGGACUUGUUGGAUUUAUGGGAAAUACUCCUACAAAUAAGGUGAACCGUCUGCACAGUUGAGGCAAAGGGCCAAAGCAUCUGUCCUCAAUCUUAUAAUA